rnacentral:SRP_RNA from 1 species
CCAAGGAAUUGUGGUGGGUGCCUGUAGUUCCAACUACUUGGGAGGCUGAGGCAGGAGGACUGUUGGAGUCCACAAGUUCUAGGCUAUAGUGUUCCGUGAUACAUGCCUGCAUUCAGCUUGACAUCAAUACCAUGGCCUCCCAGAUGGUGGGUACCACCAGGUUUCCUAAGGAGGGGGGAACCUAGCUCAGGUCUGAAAUAGAGUAGGCCAUAACUCCGGUGUUAAUCAGCAGUAGGAUUGAUCCCAUAAAUAGUAACUGUAUUCCAGCCUGGGCAACACAGUGAUACUCAUGUCUA